UAUGAGCAAAAAAUGCUUGGUUGGUUUAAAAGUUUAUUUUACGAGUUAUGUGUUGUUGUUGUUUUUAUUUUUAUAUUGGUCUAUAUUUUAAAAGCUUGACAAAACACCUCAUAUAUAUGCUAACUUGGUUUAAAAAAAGUACACUGAUUGACUGUAAUUAUCCCAAUAGUGAGAGUGCUUCAUUUCGAAGAAAUGCUGCUUCAAGUGGAGUGGGAAGCUGAAAUGGAUCCGAAUACCAGUGAAAAAUGACUUUGACUUUUGUGAAUUCAUUAAAGAAGCUUCAGCAAAGUUUAACUUGCCGCAUGGAGGGAAUGUGGUUCUUAAGGACUCUGCAGGAGUUGAUGUUUAUGCUGAUAUUUUUGAUGAGCUUGUGAGAACAUCUAAGGUGUCCUUCAUAAUUUUGGAUUGCGAUACAGCGGAUAAUGCUCCACAAGCUGAGACCGAUUUCUCUGAGCCGUCAUGUCCAGAGUUGUCAUUUUCAUCAGAAAGUUUCGAUUACACAGUGAUUCCACAAAAAGCGAUUCUUAGAAGAACCUUCUGACUGCAAGUUCUCAAAACAUCUAGUUUAUGCAGCACUGCACUCAAAACCAGGAGGCUCUGAUAUAUUGAAGGAGUACGAACAAACAAAGAGUCUGUCUGACAAGACACAAAGGAAGCUGGUAAACAUCCUUGUGGCUGAUAUGGUAGAGACGCAUGGGAGGAUUCCACCAGUCAGUAUCUGUGUAAGCUAUGCUCUUGGAAUCAUUACUCUUUUCCCCAAUUUGAAGGAUAUGUUCUCACCGACUGGUUAUGCAAGAACAGUUCUACGAUCCACGCAGUGGCCAGGGUUACAUUGCCUACAGACUGAAAACAACUGAGCAGCUGUCAGGUGAUGAAUGCACAGAAGCUGCAUCCAUGAUAAAGCAAUCAAUGGACGCACAAGUUAUUAAGGAUAAAAUGAAGACAACAUUCAAGUACAGACAGGAUUUGAUGCAUGAUCCAGACAAAUCUUCACUCAUCCUUGAUUACUUUCCCCGAUUUUUGGAUACAAAGGCUUGAUUGACCAAGACUUAACUAUGCUUUUUGGAGAUGACAUUUCAAGCAAGUUGCCCAACAUUCUACAAGCCAAGAAUAAUUGCUGACUGCAAAAACCUGCAUUAUGGUGCACAUGUGGAUGACCUUUUGUCUGCUCUGGAGGAGUCUGAUUAUGGAUGGGAUGGUGAUGUGGCUACUAUUUUCUUGCUCCAUCUCUUGCCUCAAACUGUAAAAGGAAGGAAGACUGGGAAAAUCAGUGCUACAAAAGCAGCUGAUCAUGUUGUAAAGUUCAUCAGUAAAGU